rnacentral:tRNA from 1 species
GCCUGGGUGGCUCAGUCGGUUGAGCAUCCGACUUUGGCUCAGGUCAUGAUCUCACAGUCUGUGGGUUCGAGCCCCGCAUCGGGCU